GCGAAGGUGGCGGAAUUGGUAGACGCGCUAGCUUCAGGUGUUAGUGUCCUUCGGACGUGGGGGUUCAAGUCCCCCCCNNGUCCCCCCCCUCGCACCA
rnacentral:tRNA from 1 species